ensembl:lncRNA
AAUAUUUCAUGUAGCCCACUCUCACAUUGUUGCUUUACUACAUUCCCUUACUUUUAUCCAGUAGGAACGCUGACCAGUUGGUACAGCACAGGUUACAAUGAAAGAAGAAAGCAAGAAGAGGCCAGUGAAAGACGAUUGCUUUUUUUCCUGUGUAUAUGUUGCGGCUGAUUGACAGGGUUUGAUACUCCUUGUUCCAUUCUGGAGUGGUUACUCAUUCAGCAGUCACUUCGGCUGCAAAACAAGGGACCGAGAUGUGGUCUGCUGCCUGACCUGGGGCAUGGGGAUGGGCACUUACAAUCUGAUGGGAGCCCAGCUUUAGGGCUUGUGUAGAUCAGCAUCAAAAUCAGCCAAACACCAGCUUGUGUUCUGAUGGCUUGCUAGGGCUAGGCCCCACUCACCGGCGUUCUGUCUUACCUCCAACCUUCACAACUGUGUUAUCCCCAUUUUACAGAUUGGGGUGCUGAGGGUAUAAGGAAUUUGCAAAACGUCACAGUUAACAGGCAAAACCAUUGUUUUCUGCAGAAGCCAGAGCUCCUUUUUCUUUCAUUUUGACCACAAAGUAUAUGGGAUCUUAAUUCCCUGACCAGGGAUCAAACCCACGACCCCUGCAUUGGCAGCAUUAUGUCUUAACUGCUGGACCGCCAGAGAAGACAAGUCAGAGUGCUUAAUCAUUAUACUCUCUGCCUUCUGGGAAAGAUUGAGGGCAGGAGGAGACAAGGGCGACAGAGGAAGAGAUGGUUGGAUGGCAUCACUGCCUCAGUGGACAUGAAAGUGAAAAGUGAAAGUGAAAGUGAAGUCGUUCAGUCGUGUCCGACUCUUUGCAACCCCAUGGACUGUAGCCCAUCAGGCUCCUCCGUCCAUGGGAUUUUCCAGGCAAGAGUGCUGGAGUGGAUUGCCAUUUCCUUCUCCAGGGGAUCUUCCCGACCCAGGAAUCCAACCCGGGUCUCCUGCAUUGCAGAUAGAUGCUUUACUGUCUGAAUUCUGCGAGAUGGUGAAGGACAGAAAAGCCUGGCUUGCUGCAGUCCAUGGGGUCGCAAACAGACACAAUUGAGCAACAACUGGCUUAUGGGUCCUAAAACCCCCCGCUUAGUUUCCCAGCAUGCCUUGCAAGUGGAGGUGGAGCCAAGUAUGUAGGUACGUAGGUCAAAGGUCUUGGCAUAAGGUCGGGCAGCUGUUAGAGGUUUAGAUGAAGCCUAAGAGAGCUGUCUCCAGGCCAGGGGAGCCAGCUUGGGAGGCCCCAAGCCUGCUGCCUCUUAAAGCGGGUGACUCAGCCUCGCUCUGUCAGUGACACUGGUCACAUGACGGCUGCUGCAGUUCUACGUAUCAGAGCAUUCCAUGUCCACAUUCAAGGUGGGAAGAGUGAAUGAGCUGUACCAGAGAACACUCUGCAUAUCUGUCCUGUUGUAAGAAAGAAAGAUCCUUUCCGGAAGUUCCCAGCAGACUUCCUCUUCCAUCCAGCUGAUUGGAGCAGUGUCACAUGGACACUUGAAGCUGUAGGAGAGACUAAGAAUGGUGGGGCUGUGUUCCCUCCCUGUUAUUUGACCUGAGGCCAAACUAUUGUGGAAGUAAUGAAGAUAAUUGCAACCUUCUUCAAAUGGUCCCCUGCAAUCAAUGCUACACUCAGUGCCCCCAGCCCUGCAGCAGGCCACUGCUGACCCACGCCUCCACCAGAGACUCCUGGACACUCACAGGUUGGCAAGUAUUGUUCAGAUCUGAAAACACCAAAUACUGGCCUGAAUUGAACAUAGAGAAACAGGAAGUCAAAGGCAUUGGUGGUAGACUGUGGAUUGGAUUGCUUUGGGAAGCACUUUUGCAACGCUUAAUAAAGAUGGAGAUAAACAUCUACAUCAACUGGGCAAUUCCAUUUCUAGAAACUUUCACACAUGUGCAUAGGAAGACAAGUACAAGGGGAUUUAGUGGAACACUGGAGAUAAUCUAACUCUAUCCAUCAGUAGAAUAAUGGGGAGCUGCAGUAUUCAGAAAAUGGGUAUCAUCCAGGAGUGGAGAUGCAUGGACUCAGUCUGCAUGUAUUAGCUGAAUGAAUCCAAAGAACAAAAUGUUGAAUGAAAGUAGCAAGUCACACACUAUGCAUCAUUAUAU